UUGUGGAAUACUGGAGGACUUCCUCCUCCAGAUCCCUGCUAAAGACAUUUUUGCCACACCGAUCGUGUGGGUGCAUGGCAUGACGGAGCACAGAUGAGCCCUUGCUCAUGUGGGGGAAGUCAAGAUGCUGAAUGCCCUCGGGUGAUAGACAGUGUGCAAUGGGAACGAAAGCGGAGCUGAUGGCCCAGUUCAAGUUCACCUGACAAAGCUGAAGCAGGCUGCAAGCAAGACUCUAGAAAAGGAUUAUUCACACUAGCAUUAUAUUUUGUGAAUGCAGUUUUCUUCCUGCGCAGCUGCAGAGCUCCCUAACCCUGAAGGUUUAUGCACCAUAAUAAAGAGAUUUAAUUUUUUUUCUC